UGUCUGAGUAUGAAGCAUGCCUUUUAGCAACAGAGAUGCCAGUGCAGACCUAAGCAUGUCUAUGUGAGUGCUGCGCAGAGCCCCAGCUGUCUGAGGACAGCAGGCAGUAUACUCUUGACCCCAAUCGUUACGUCUUUGCAGUUUCAUGCCUUUCAGCACAUUCUAUCAUUCAGUUCUUAUUUUCAUGGUGAGCAGGAUGUUCUCCUACUGCGUGUGGCUUUGGCCUUUUUCAUUGUUUAGUUCCUUGUCCCUGUGGUUCCUCGUUUAUCUGCACGCUCAUCACUAGGAAAUUCAGCCUUUUCAGCAGAAGUGAUGUCAAACUGAAGAUUAUGUGUGAACCAGAAGGGAGAUAAUGACAAUUAGAUGCAGUUAGUUACUGAGCAAGGACAGUAAACUCUCUAAAAUCAAUAAAAGAUCAUGGUGCUCAGGGGACACGAAAUUAACAUUGUUAAGUUUCCAGCCCCUCAGAUUAAAACUCAGAAACAAGUGCUGUGCUGUGGCAGAAGGCAUCAUAGUGGCCAAUAAAUUUGGGUUGAUAGGUUCUUGGUCACAGCCACAAUUACUUUAAAGAAUUCUGAAGAUUAUAUGCAAGAAAAGUAUUUUAUUUGGUAGAUAAUUCUUUUUUUAUGUAGAUAAUUCUUAUUAUUAAAUAGUUUCAGUCC
rnacentral:lncRNA from 1 species